AGUCUGAUGGAGCAACGCCGCGUGAGUGAAGAAGGCUUUCGGGGUCGUAAAACUCUGUUGUUGGAGAAGAAUGGUCGGCAGAGUAACUGUUGUCGGCGUGACGGUAUCCAACCAGAAAGCCACGGCUAACUACGUGCCAGCAGCCGCGGUAAUACGUAGGUGGCAAGCGUUAUCCGGAUUUAUUGGGCGUAAAGCGAGCGCAGGCGGUUUUUUAAGUCUGAUGUGAAAGCCCUCGGCUUAACCGAGGAAGUGCAUCGGAAACUGGGAAACUUGAGUGCAGAAGAGGACAGUGGAACUCCAUGUGUAGCGGUGAAAUGCGUAGAUAUAUGGAAGAACACCAGUGGCGAAGGCGGCUGUCUGGUCUGUAACUGACGCUGAGGCUCGAAAGCAUGGGUAGCGAACAGGAUUAGAUACCCUGGUAGUCCAUGCCGUAAACGAUGAAUGCUAGGUGUUGGAGGGUUUCCGCCCUUCAGUGCCGCAGCUAACGCAUUAAGCAUUCCGCCUGGGGAGUACGACCGCAAGGUUGAAACUCAAAGGAAUUGACGGGGGCCCGCACAAGCGGUGGAGCAUGUGGUUUAAUUCGAAGCAACGCGAAGAACCUUACCAGGUCUUGACAUCUUUUGAUCACCUGAGAGAUCAGGUUUCCCCUUCGGGGGCAAAAUGACAGGUGGUGCAUGGUUGUCGUCAGCUCGUGUCGUGAGAUGUUGGGUUA
rnacentral:rRNA from 2 species